GUGUAAGUGUGCAUUAGUACAUGCUAACGAUAUUCAAAAAGUACGUACCUCAAAGAAAACGAUGACGCGAGUUAUCGUCUCUAACGUUCGAGGACUACAAAAAACACUCGGAUUGUAGGCAACAGUUUACUUCCUGGGAUUAGUGACGUAGAUAAGACCAACAUUAUCAUAGUUCAGCCCUCUCUGCUUUGCUUGGGUAUGCCCUCAAAGACGGGGGUGGGGAGCGCCGAGUCAGAAGAGAGCUAAAAUGGCGGAGGUUGUGAGUCCCUGCUAUGACUCUGUUUGCAAACUCUUGUUUCAUUGUUUAAGCGAUUAAAUCUCUCGAGUAGACGCUGUCUCUUUAGAUGCGUGGGAAAAAUAGCACUUUAUGGACUUCCACAGAGGACAUCAUGUUUAAUACGGUUCCGGAAAAAUCCAGUCAGAAGUUGUUCACGGAGUUUUCACAAUAACUGCUUCUCAUCAUGAACCGAAGCUGGAUUUGCGCGACGUCUCCUCUUGAAAGUUGGAUUACUGUGCACUUCUGGAUCACAGGCUAUUCGCAGCUGUACACAUCCUUCUACACUGUAUGCAAACAUGCAACAUCAUUACACACAGUACAAGGAGUCAGACUGGCAAAUGAGGAGCAAAGGAACCCAGACAGUAGCAUCGUUUCACAAUGUUUCCAUCACCAUCAUCAGUGGAUGCCUUUGCCGUCUGUAGCCUGAGAUUUCAGAUUUGCAGCAAAAAAAAAUUGAUUUUCUCAUUUAUUGGAAUGCUGUGCAGGUCACCAAGCCGUAACAAAAGCAGGAGAGGGAAAGUACAAGGCUAUGUUCCCAAAACACACAAGUGACAUACCAUA